rnacentral:rRNA from 1 species
CUCAAAGGAAUUGACGGGGGCCCGCACAAGCGGUGGAGCAUGUGGUUUAAUUCGACGAUACGCGAAGAACCUUACCCGAUCUUGACAUGCGCUAUUCCCGGACCUCGAUACCGCACUUGCACUCUCGCUGCAGUUAACACAGGUGCUGCUUGGCUGUCGUCAGCUCGUGCACGUGAGAUGUUCGGUUAAGUCCUGCAACGAGCGCAACCCAACACCCUUAGUUGCACGCAUUGACGGUGGGCACUCUAGGAGAACUGCCGGUGAUAAGCCUGAGGAAGGUGAGGACGACGUCAAAUCAUCAUGGCCCUUACGUCCAGAGUCUACACACGUGCUACAAUGGAAGUGACAGAUUUGGGUUAAUCUCAAUAAACUCUCCCAGUUCGGAUUGUAGUCUGCAACUCGACUACAUGAAGUUGGAAUCGCCUAGUAAUCGUGCAAUCAGCUGGGCUGACUCGGUGAAUAGCGUUCACGGGCCUUGUACACACCGCCCGCUCAUACCAUGGGAGUUGAAUUACUAGACGACGCUGCGCUAACCACGGGAGGCAGGCGGCCACGGUAGGAACUGUGAUCGGCUU